rnacentral:rRNA from 2 species
UUAAUUGAAGAGUUUGAUCAUGGCUCAGAUUGAACGCUGGCGGCAGGCUUAACACAUGCAAGUCGAGCGGUAGCACAAGAGAGCUUGCUCUCUGGGUGACGAGCGGCGGACGGGUGAGUAAUGUCUGGGAAACUGCCUGAUGGAGGGGGAUAACUACUGGAAACGGUAGCUAAUACCGCAUAACGUCGCAAGACCAAAGAGGGGGACCUUCGGGCCUC